UUUUUUCAUCCAAACAUUCUACCCAUUGUUGUUGAGUUAAUGGCCUUGAAACUGAGUUGCUUCCUUAGGUCAAUUAUAUUUAAAACCCCAUUCGGCUAGUGGCGCCUUGGAGGGUUUUCUCCAACAAGCUUAUCUCAUUUUCUUUUCCUCAACUCACCAUUUUCUUAUGGUGUCUGUAAGGGUUUUCCACUAUUGAGACACUCUUAUCUACAUUUCCCUUAACUCACAGUCAUCUUACAGUGCCUAUGAGAGUUUUCACCGAUA
rnacentral:lncRNA from 1 species